GGGGCUGUAGCUCAGUGGUAAAGCACUCGCCUCAAAUGUGUGAGGCACUGGGUUUGAUCCUCAGCACCA
rnacentral:tRNA from 1 species